AUUGAACGCUGGCGGCAUGCCUUACACAUGCAAGUCGAACGGUAACAGGUCUUCGGAUGCUGACGAGUGGCGAACGGGUGAGUAAUACAUCGGAACGUGCCUAGUAGUGGGGGAUAACUACUCGAAAGAGUGGCUAAUACCGCAUGAGAUCUACGGAUGAAAGCAGGGGAUCGCAAGACCUUGUGCUACUAGAGCGGCAGAUGGCAGAUUAGGUAGUUGGUGGGAUAAAAGCUUACCAAGCCGACGAUCUGUAGCUGGUCUGAGAGGACGAUCAGCCACACUGGGACUGAGACACGGCCCAGACUCCUACGGGAGGCAGCAGUGGGGAAUUUUGGACAAUGGGCGAAAGCCUGAUCCAGCCAUUCCGCGUGCAGGAUGAAGGCCCUCGGGUUGUAAACUGCUUUUGUACGGAACGAAAAGGCUCUGGUUAAUACCUGGGGCUCAUGACGGUACCGUAAGAAUAAGCACCGGCUAACUACGUGCCAGCCGCCGCCGUAA
rnacentral:rRNA from 1 species